AGUGAACGCUGGCGGUAGGCCUAACACAUGCAAGUCGAACGGCAGCACAGUAAGAGCUUGCUCUUACGGGUGGCGAGUGGCGGACGGGUGAGGAAUACAUCGGAAUCUACUUUUUCGUGGGGGAUAACGUAGGGAAACUUACGCUAAUACCGCAUACGACCUACGGGCGAAAGCAGGGGAUCUUCGGACCUUGCGCGAUUGAAUGAGCCGAUGUCGGAUUAGCUAGUUGGCGGGGUAAAGGCCCACCAAGGCGACGAUCCGUAGCUGGUCUGAGAGGAUGAUCAGCCACACUGGAACUGAGACACGGUCCAGACUCCUACGGGAGGCAGCAGUGGGGAAUAUUGGACAAUGGGCGCAAGCCUGAUCCAGCCAUACCGCGUGGGUGAAGAAGGCCUUCGGGUUGUAAAGCCCUUCUGUUGGGAAAGAAAAGCAGCAGGUUAAUACCCCGCUGUUCUGACGGUACCCAAAGAAUAAGCACCGGCUAACUUCGUG
rnacentral:rRNA from 1 species